AAUAAGAACCUCUGAUGGCUCUAACACCAUUUGUUCUGUUUUCACACCUCUGAGGGCACUGUCCUGUACUUCCCAUGGUUGAGUCCGCAAAAAACUAUGCUAAUGAAGCUGCACUGAGACAAACAUCAGAAAAGCAUGGAAAAGAACCUCUAUCCAUUACCAUUAAUUAGAUGUUGAAAAUCUGAAUGCAUAUUUAGACAAAUGGCUGCAUCUGAGCAAGUGUCGUGAUGACGUGUGCAAGAAGUACAGCAUCAAGCACUCAAACAGUUGAUUUUGGGCAUUGCUGGACAUUAAAAGAGCUCCCCAUUCACACGGGGCUUCAGCAUCAAC
rnacentral:lncRNA from 1 species